rnacentral:rRNA from 1 species
UCGGGAAUAUUGCGCAAUGGAGGAAACUCUGACGCAGUGACGCCGCGUGCAGGAAGAAGGUUUUCGGAUUGUAAACUGCUUUAGACAGGGAAGAAAAAGACAGUACCUGUAGAAUAAGCUCCGGCUAACUACGUGCCAGCAGCCGCGGUAAUACGUAGGGAGCGAGCGUUAUCCGGAUUUAUUGGGUGUAAAGGGUGCGUAGACGGGAAGAUAAGUUAGUUGUGAAAUCCCUCGGCUCAACUGAGGAACUGCAACUAAACUGUACACUCUUGAGUACUGGAGAGGAAAGUGGAAUUCCUAGUGUAGCGGUGAAAUGCGUAGAUAUUAGGAGGAACACCAGUGGCGAAGGCGACUUUCUGGACAGAAACUGACGUUGAGGCACGAAAGUGUGGGGAGCAAACAGGAUUAGAUACCC